AAACCAUGAUGAGGACACACUAAGAGGAGGUCUUUGAAACAUUCCAUACAUCGAGAGAAUGAUUCAUUGGGUCUUUGACGAAACUGAAAAAUGUCAUUCCUAAACUU
rnacentral:snoRNA from 1 species